AGCGAACGCUGGCGGCAGGCCUAACACAUGCAAGUCGAACGAACUCUUCGGAGUUAGUGGCGGACGGGUGAGUAACACGUGGGAACGUGCCUUUAGGUUCGGAAUAACUCAGGGAAACUUGUGCUAAUACCGAAUGUGCCCUUCGGGGGAAAGAUUUAUCGCCCUUAGAGCGGCCCGCGUCUGAUUAGCUAGUUGGUGAGGUAAAGGCUCACCAAGGCGACGAUCAGUAGCUGGUCUGAGAGGAUGAUCAGCCACAUUGGGACUGAGACACGGCCCAAACUCCUACGGGAGGCAGCAGUGGGGAAUCUUGCGCAAUGGGCGAAAGCCUGACGCAGCCAUGCCGCGUGAAUGAUGAAGGUCUUAGGAUUGUAAAAUUCAUUCACCGGGGACGAUAAUGACGGUACCCGGAGAAGAAACCCCGGCUAACUUCGUGCCAGCCGCCGCCGUAA
rnacentral:rRNA from 1 species